rnacentral:rRNA from 1 species
AGCUCCAAUAGCGUAUACUAAUGUUGUUGCAGUUAAAAAGCUCGUAGUCGGAUUUCAGAUUUGGUACGUUUUCCUCUUAUUGGUUUACGUCUCAUUUCUUCUUUGACAGAAGGCUUCCUUACAUUUAUUUGUUGGGUUGUUCAACUGUCUCUUUUACUUUGAGAAAAUUAGAGUGUUCAAAGCAGGUUUUUGCCUGAAUAUUACUCUUGGAAUAAUAAUAUAGGACUCUGGUUCUAGUUUGUUGGUGAUCUAGUGCCGGAGUAAUGAUUAAUAGCGACGGUUGGGGUCAUUCGUACUGCAAAGCGAGAGGUGAAAUUCUUGGACCUUUGUAUGACGAACAACUGCGAAAGCAUUUGACUAGGACGUUCGCG